rnacentral:rRNA from 1 species
ACUGAACGCUGGCGGCAGGCCUAACACAUGCAAGUCGAGCGGAUGACGGGAGCUUGCUCCUUGAUUCAGCGGCGGACGGGUGAGUAAUGCCUAGGAAUCUGCCUGGUAGUGGGGGACAACGUUUCGAAAGGAACGCUAAUACCGCAUACGUCCUACGGGAGAAAGCAGGGGACCUUCGGGCCUGGCGCUAUCAGAUGAGCCUAGGUCGGAUUAGCUUGUUGGUGAGGUAAUGGCUCACCAAGGCGACGAUCCGUAACUGGUCUGAGAGGAUGAUCAGUCACACUGGAACUGAGACACGGUCCAGACUCCUACGGGAGGCAGCAGUGGGGAAUAUUGGACAAUGGGCGAAAGCCUGAUCCAGCCAUGCCGCGUGUGUGAAGAAGGUCUUCGGAUUGUAAAGCACUUUAAGUUGGGAGGAAGGGUUGUAGAUUAAUACUCUGCAAUUUUGACGUUACCGACAGAAUAAGCACCGGCUAACUCUGUGCCAGCCGCCGCCGUAAGAC